UACGUAGGGUGCGAGCGUUGUCCGGAAUUAUUGGGCGUAAAGAGCUUGUAGGCGGUUUGUCGCGUCUGCUGUGAAAAUCCGGGGCUCAACCCCGGACUUGCAGUGGGUACGGGCAGGCUAGAGUGUGGUAGGGGAGACUGGAAUUCCUGGUGUAGCGGUGGAAUGCGCAGAUAUCAGGAGGAACACCGAUGGCGAAGGCAGGUCUCUGGGCCGAUACUGACGCUGAGGAGCGAAAGCGUGGGGAGCGAACAGG
rnacentral:rRNA from 1 species